rnacentral:rRNA from 1 species
GACGAACGCUGGCGGCGUGCUUAACACAUGCAAGUCGAACGGAAAGGCCCUGCUUUUGUGGGGUUCUCGAUUGGCGAACGGGUGAGUAACACGUGAGUAACCUGCCCUUGACUUUGGGAUAACUUCAGGAAACUGGGGCUAAUACCGGAUAGGAGCUCCUGCUGCAUGGUGGGGGUUGGAAAGUUUCGGCGGUUGGGGAUGGACUCGCGGCUUAUCAGCUUGUUGGUGGGGUAGUGGCUUACCAAGGCUUUGACGGGUAGCCGGCCUGAGAGGGUGACCGGCCACAUUGGGACUGAGAGACGGCCCAGACUGCUACGGGAGGCAGCAGGGGGGAAUAUUGCACAAUGGGCGGAAGCCUGAUGCAGCAACGCCGCGUGCGGGAUGACGGCCUUCGGGUUGUAAACCGCUUUCGCCUGUGACGAAGCGUGAGUGACGGUAAUGGGUAAAGAAGCACCGGCUAACUACGUG